rnacentral:rRNA from 1 species
CAGAGGGGGCAAGCGUUAUUCGGAAUUAUUGGGCGUAAAGGGCGCGUAGGCGGCUUUUCAAGUGACGGGUGAAAUCCCUCGGCUUAACCGAGGAACUGCCUGUCAGACUGGAAGGCUUGAGACCGGGAGAGGUGAGUGGAAUUCCCAGUGUAGCGGUGAAAUGCGUAGAUAUUGGGAGGAACACCAGUGGCGAAGGCGGCUCACUGGACCGGAACUGACGCUGAGGCGCGAAAGCGUGGGGAGCAAACAGGAUUAGAUACCCUGGUAGUCCACGCCGUAAACGAUGAGUGCUUGGUGUAGCGGGUAUCGACCCCUGCUGUGCCGAAGUCAACACAUUAAGCACUCCGCCUGGGGGAGUACGGUCGCAAGACUG